AACGCAGUGCUUGUUUAACAAUAGGGGCGUGGACAGCUGGCAAGAGCCAUACCGAAAAUAAAUAUAUGUAUAUGUAUUUUUAACAUAUAUUUUAACAAUAUAUGUAAAUAUUUAAAAUGGCACAUUAAAUAUAUUUUGUUUAAAUAUAUUUCCAUAUAUGUUUUCUGACUAUUAUAAUGAUUGUGAAGACAAUCUGUAUAUAAUAUUCUUUUUAAACCAUGUUGUAUAUCGAUCAUAAAAAAUAUUUAAUGUCAAGGUUUGAGAUUUUGUCCCAGGAACCCCAUAUAAGAAAAUUUUAAUUAGAUAUGAUUAUAACUGUACGCAGGUGCGUAGUGAAACCUAUGAUUAGAAUGGAUUCUUAAUUGUCUGCCAUUGUGAUAAAUUAGUGAAACUUAACUAUUCCUCAUUUGCAGGGGACCUAACUUCCAUAAGGAUGUCCGGGGUUUCCUUGACCCACAGAAUCAAAUAGACAAUAGCUAUUCAAGCACAAGUACUUGGCCAAAACAUGCCACAUACAUUCAUUUUAGUGUACAUUUCAUAGCUAGGAGUGUAGGCUAAUUGAACCAUUGCAUAUUUUUGUCCAUAUACACUCACCGGCCACUUCAUUAGGUACAACUGUUCAACUGCUUGUUAACACAAAUAUCUCAUGCCAAUCACUUGGCAGCAACUCAGUGCAUUUAGGCAUGUAGACAUGGUCAAGACGAUCUGCUGAAGUUCAAACCAAGCAUCAGAAUGGGGAAGAAAGGUGAUUUAAGUGACUUUGAACGUGGCAUGGUCGGGCUGGUUUGAGUAUUUCGGAAACUGCUGAUCUACUCAGAUUUUCAUGCACAACCAUCUCUAGGGUUUACAGAGAAUGGUCCGAAAAAGAGAAAAUAUCCAGUGAGGGGCAGUUCUCUGGGUGAAAAUGCCUUGUUGAUGGCAAAGGUCAGAGGAGAAUGGCCAGACUGGUUUGAGCUGAUAGAAAGGCAACAGUAACUCAAAUAGCCACUUGUUACAAACAAGGUAUGCAGAAGAGCAUCUCUGAAUGCACAACACGUCAAACCUUGAAGCAGAUGGGUAACAGCAGCAGAAGACCACACCCGGUACUAGCAAGUACCUGAUGAAGUGGCCGAGUUCUCUACAUUUGGCACAACAGCUCAAAUGGAAACUACUGUACAAGAUCAGAAUAAAGCUCCCACACAUGGCCUUAUGACUGUUGCCCCAGUGAAGAACCCGAGGUCCAGCCUUUUACCACUGAAGACAUGCCUGAGACAAGAGUGACUGUAUUCCAAGUUGAACAAUGCACUGGAGGCCUGUGAUUUUGGGCAGUGUGAUUUGGAACUGUAUAGUACGUAAUAAGACUCUAUUGAGCUCUUAUAACCUUAUUAAAUAGCUAACAUGGAAAGCAUUUUUGAAAAUUAAGUAACAUGAAAAAAUGAAUGUGAUAUGUCUUUAAGGGUGAUUACAAGCCCUUAAAAAGUCUUACAUUGUCUUAAAUUUAUUUUUGUUCAUAGAAUUGUCUAAUACACGAUGACAGUUGACUAUAUCAUGGUGUAUUUAUCUGUGGUUACAAUGUGUUUGUAUUUCAAUGGUAAAAGCCCGCAAUGUGUCCUUUUCUUGGACCAGAAUAAACAUUUGGACAAAUGUCAUUGUUGUCGUUUUAGAUAAUUGUAAAAAUGUCAAGGAACUGAGAGUACAACUUUCCUGUGCUUACUUGUGUGGUAAACUGUCUUAAAUGUUAUUCUAAGAAGCAUUUAAAAUGUCUAAAAAUGCCGGCAGACAUCCUACUUUAAUAUGUGGGGGAUCCUAACUUAAAUGUAGUUCACUGCUUGAAAAAGACAAAAAUACUCAACACUGUUAUAAUGUUGAAAUCAUUGGUCUAUGGUUAUUACUGUCCUGAAACUACAACAAUGCAAGACAAUGCGUAUUUUAUUGACAAGCAGUUCUGGGUGUUUUAAUUUAAUUCUUGUGCACUUCAAUCUGUUGACAUAUCAAGAAAUUGUAAUGAUGGUAAUGCCAUCAUUUUAUCAGAAAAAUACUAGGGAGGAUGUAGUCAUGAUAUUCUGUCAAUAUGCUGCAGUUGAUGCUUAUGAUGGUGGUGGAAGUGAUUAUGGUGAUGAGGAGGUACUGCAUAUUAUACUAGCACGUAUGCUUUGGGGGACCUACUAUAGACAUUGCACUAGUGCAAGUCACCCUUUUUAUGUUGUUUUUGUAUCUAGUUUUGUAUGUUUGUCUCAUCUUCUGUACCAUAAUUAUGCUUGCUUCAGCACAUACUGCCUACCUAGAAAUGUAACUUGAACCUGAUCUCAAUGGUAUUCUAUACAAUGACAAUAAAGGCUUUCUAUUCUA